rnacentral:rRNA from 1 species
AUUGAACGCUGGCGGCAGGCCUAACACAUGCAAGUCGAGCGGAUGAAGGGAGCUUGCUCCUGGAUUCAGCGGCGGACGGGUGAGUAAUGCCUAGGAAUCUGCCUGGUAGUGGGGGAUAACGUCCGGAAACGGGCGCUAAUACCGCAUACGUCCUGAGGGAGAAAGUGGGGGAUCUUCGGACCUCACGCUAUCAGAUGAGCCUAGGUCGGAUUAGCUAGUUGGUGGGGUAAAGGCCUACCAAGGCGACGAUCCGUAACUGGUCUGAGAGGAUGAUCAGUCACACUGAAACUGAAACACGGCCCGGACCCCUAGGGAGGGCAGCAGGGGGGAAUUUUGGACAAUGGGGAAAAGCCGAAUCCAGCCAUGCCGGGUUGGUGAAGAAGGUCUUCGGAUUGUAAAGCACUUUAAGUUGGGAGAAAGGGAAGAAAGUUAAUACCUUGCUUUUUUGACGUUACCAACAGAAUAAACACCGGCUAACUUCGU